rnacentral:rRNA from 1 species
UACGAAGGGGGCUAGCGUUGCUCGGAAUCACUGGGCGUAAAGCGCACGUAGGCGGCUUCUUAAGUCAGGGGUGAAAUCCUGGAGCUCAACUCCAGAACUGCCUUUGAUACUGAGGAGCUUGAGUCCGGGAGAGGUGAGUGGAACUGCGAGUGUAGAGGUGAAAUUCGUAGAUAUUCGCAAGAACACCAGUGGCGAAGGCGGCUCACUGGCCCGGUACUCGACGCUGAGGUGCGAAAGCGUGGGGAGCAAACAGG